AGCAAUCUCACAUUCUUCGGACCAUUCCAAAUCUCCACUUUUUUGAAUUUUUUUGAACCUCAUGUGGCUUGAAAAUCAUUUAAAUAAGUUAAUUGCACUUAGGGGGUGUGAAAUUAAUGUCUAGAAAAAUCGAAAUCCAAAAAUACUAAAAAAUUAGUAAGAGUGUGAAGAUUGUGAGAAAUCCUCACAUUCUUCGUACCUUCCCAAAUCUCCACCUCUUUGAAUUUUUUUAAAAAAUAUUUGGACCUCAUAUGGUUUCAAUAUUGGAUAAAUAGGUUAAUUAUACUUAGAAAGUGUGAAAUUGAUGGCAGGAAAAAUAAAAAUCCAAAAAUACUAAAAAAUUAGUAAGGGUAUGAAAAAUAUGAAGAUUCUUCACAUUCUUCGUACCCUUCUAAAUCUCCACUUUUUUUUUUUUUUAAAUUUUAAUUUUUUUUUUUGGACCUUAUAUGAUUUCGAUAUUGUUUAAAUACUGUUAAUUACACUUAAGAGGUCUGGAAUUGAUGCCCAAAAAAAUCAAAAUCCAAAAAUACUAAAAAAUUAGUAAAUGACAAAGAAUGUGAGGGUUCCUGACAUUCUUUGUACCCUCCUUAGCGCAUAUAUGUAUGUCCUAUGUGAUACCUAAUGUUUCUUUAAAUCUCAACUAAUUUUUGACAUUUUAUGAGGACUUGAUUUAUGAUAGUGGUUGCACGAAAUAUACAAUUUUGUAUUUAGAUUUUUCUUGAUAUUUAAUAUUGAGUUCUUGUCAUUUCAUUUAGGUAGUAUAUAUGUCAUGUAUAUUAUAGAUUGAUAUACAAUUUUGUUAUUAUAAUUGCUCUAACCCUAUUUAACUAUAUGUAAAUACAUUGUAAGUCAUGUAUGCUAUCUAAGUACGUCCAUUACACUUUCUAUCCCUUUAGUUCUGCAAAAUAGACAUGCUUUGUGUGUGAA
rnacentral:lncRNA from 1 species